rnacentral:rRNA from 1 species
AAUCAACGCUGGCGGCGUGCCUCAGACAUGCAAGUCGAACGAUUAAAGCUCCCUUCGGGGAGUGCAUAGAGUGGCGCACGGGUGAGUAACACGUAAGUAAUCUACCUUCGAGUGGGGAAUAACGUCCGGAAAGGGACCCUAAUACCGCAUAAUGCAGCGGCAUCGCAAGAUGACAGUUGGUAAAGAUUUAUCGCUUGAAGAGGAGCUUGCGGCAGAUUAACUAGUUGGUAAGGUAAUGGCUUACCAAGGCUACGAUCUGUAACCGGUCUUAGAGGACGGUCGGUCACACUGACACUGAAUAACGGGUCAGACUCCUACGGGAGGCAGCAGUCGGGAAUUUUGGGAAAUGGGCGAAAGCCUGACCCAGCAACGCCGCGUGAAGGAUGAAGUAUUUCGGUAUGUAAACUUCGAAAGAAUGGGAAGAAUCAAUGACGGUACCAUUUAUAAGGUCCGGCUAACUACGUGCCAGCAGCCGCCGUAA